GAGGCACUAAGAUCGAACCUGAGAAGCAACAACAGCUUCAGCAUGGCACUGAUGGUACCUGCUGGGGGCAGUGGGUGAUAGUGCUUUGGAAGGAGGGAGCAGGAAGGGAGGACAGCACAGUUCUUCACAUCCAUUCUUCCACGCGAAUAAUCUGAGUUGCCUGAGUGAAGUUGAUACGUACUCUUCCUUUUUUGAUCUCUAAGGAUUGUUUUUUUUCCACUGUAAUAUAAAAAUCCCAGUCUGCAAGUAAUGCUAAUCCUAGAAGAUCUGUUAUGAAAUCAUGGAUUUAUUUUGUAUCCCUUUCCCACUGCAUUUUCUUUGUAAUAUAAGAUUGUAAUAAGGGGGGCCAUAACUCCGUAAGUGCGUGCAGCCACCAGAGCAGUGAGCACACGUUGAGCUUGGGUCCCACAAUAACGCAACUGUUAGGGGCUGGCUCCCUGCAGGAGAGGAAUGUGGAUGGAAGCCGAGGCAACUGGGUUGGAUUGCAGGCAGAUAAGAUCCCGGUUGGUGUGUGGGAUAGUGGCACGGGGCCAGCGGUUGCAAUUGGUUUGUGAUGUUGCAUUAAGAACUGAUGUGACCGAGUCAUUUUCCAGCCCACGUUGGUUGGCACUUCUGACAGCCUCUCAUCUUAGUGUGUUACAGCCACUUGCUUAAGCAUCAGGCGACCUGCCUUACUGUGGGCUUUGCAGUGAUACUCUUUACUUACCUUGGCAGUGGUUGUCUCCUGAGAAUUACUUUUUUUUUUUUAAAGUCUGAGACAGUGUAUUACUUUUCCAGAUAUAUGAAUCUGAGCAGUUGGUAUUUGGUCUACUCACUUGUAGUGCUUUAUAGUAUUGAAUAGGGGAGACUCUGAAGGAUGUCAUUAAACAGCUUGUAUUAAGGUCUGAUCAUGAGAAUGUCUAAGGGCUAGUGAAUGAAAAUCUGUGUGCCUCAGUAUUGACUUAAAUAAAAUGUUCAAUUAUUUAACAGUGUAGCUGCAUCUCAGACUGUCAUUUCUUUUAGGAGUUAACUUCCUCCACUGAUUUAAAACGCUACUGGAAUAUCAGAGGCUUUUCCAGAAGACAACAAACGCGGUUAUAUUGCCUGGCUAACGUUUGUGCUCUGUGGAGGUGAGAAGUUGGCACUUUGAACGUGUUAGAGGCUAAUCGGAAUCCAGCCUUCAGCUUUGAAAAACAAAACAAAAACCCCCAAACCACCUGUGAUAACAAGUUUUAAGGACUGUGACAUUCCUCUAGCAUUAAGGCCCUGGCAUGGCAGCUCUGCGGUGUGGUGCAAUAAAGGCUUGGUGUUGGAAAACUGCCUGGCGUGUCUUCCUAGGCCACUCAUUUAUGCCCUGGGAAAGGAUCCCAAAGGGCUUCCAAUUUAAUACUGCUUGCUUGCACAUUUUUAGUGGCUGAAAACCUUGUAUAUGUAGGAGGGAAGAGGAGGUGGUUAAGGAAUGGCCUUUGGGCACUGUUGUCUGGUAGGGCCAGGUCCCAGCAUCCAAAUUUUCCCUUAAU